rnacentral:rRNA from 1 species
UGCCAGCCGCGCGGUAAUACGUAGGGCGCAAGCGUUGUCCGGAAUUAUUGGGCGUAAAGAGCUCGUAGGCGGUUUGUCGCGUCUGCUGUGAAAACCCGAGGCUCAACCUCGGGCCUGCAGUGGGUACGGGCAGACUAGAGUGCGGUAGGGGAGACUGGAAUUCCUGGUGUAGCGGUGGAAUGCGCAGAUAUCAGGAGGAACACCGAUGGCGAAGGCAGGUCUCUGGGCCGCAACUGACGCUGAGGAGCGAAAGCAUGGGGAGCGAACAGG